rnacentral:rRNA from 1 species
UGGCGAACGGGUGAGUAACACGUGGGGCAACCUGCCCAAAAGAGGGGGAUAACACUUGGAAACAGGUGCUAAUACCGCAUAACCAUAGUUACCGCAUGGUAACUAUGUAAAAGGUGGCUAUGCUACCGCUUUUGGAUGGGCCCGCGACGCAUUAGCUAGUUGGUGGGGUAAAGGCUUACCAAGGCAAUGAUGCGUAGCCGAACUGAGAGGUUGAUCGGCCACAUUGGGACUGAGACACGGCCCAAACUCCUACGGAAGGCAGCAG